rfam:Myotis davidii contig181422, whole genome shotgun sequence.
GGCUGUUCUUGGGUGACACACCCUGGAAUUGGGCUCCCUUCUCUCUGGUUUCAGGUGGGUGACCUGAGAACCACA